rnacentral:rRNA from 1 species
UUAUCCGGAAUUAUUGGGCGUAAAGAGCCCGUAGGCGGUUUGUCGCGUCUGCUGUGAAAACCUAAGGCUCAACCUUGGGCUUGCAGUGGGUACGGGCAGACUAGAGUGCGGUAGGGGUGACUGGAAUUCCUGGUGUAGCGGUGGAAUGCGCAGAUAUCAGGAGGAACACCGAUGGCGAAGGCAGGUCACUGGGCCGCAACUGACGCUGAGGAGCGAAAGCAUGGGGAGCGAACAGG